rnacentral:rRNA from 1 species
UACGUAGGGACCAAGCGUUGUUCGGAUUUACUGGGCGUAAAGGGCGCGUAGGCGGCGAAUCAAGUCAGCUGUGAAAUCUCCGAGCUUUACUCGGAACGGUCAGCUGAUACUGUUUUGCUAGAGUGCAGAAAGGGCAACCGGAAUUCUUGGUGUAGCGGUGAAAUGCGUAGAUAUCAAGAGGAACACCUGAGGCGAAGGCGGGUUGCUAGGCUGACACUGACGCUGAAGCGCGAAAGCUAGGGUAGCAAACGGG